CGCAAUUUAAAAGGCAAAGUAAAUAGUUGCACAAACAAUGUAUUGGAGUCUGUUAUUAUUGGCAAUUCUAUUUUUGAUGAUGCAGAUUAUAGCUGCCUAUCCACUCCAUGAAAAUGAAGGACCAUUUGAUAGCAAAAACGGACAAGUUGGCGGUGGCGGUUGGUAUGGAAUGGGGGGCUGACUAACCAGGUUUUUACCAACGAAUGGAAAAGUUUUUAAGCAGAUUUCAACAAUAUUGCUUUUGAUAUAGUAUCCACUAUUAACUAACAAAAUAAAUAUUUUCUUAACAAAAUUGUGUUUCAACUAUACCAAAUUAAUAAACAGAAUAUUGUCAUAUAACAAAUAUACUCACUAUAUGCAUUAAUAAUACAGACUAAAACGGACUUUCAAUAAAUCAGCCUUAACAUACCAAUUAAAAUUGUCUUCUUUUAUCAAGUGCUCAAAUAAUUAGAAUACAUAAAAAUAAUGUUAGAUGAUAAGAAAUAUAGAUGGUUAUACAGCACUUAAGCAUCAAUUAUUUUGAGUCGACGGGGGCUUAUGGCAGGGUCAUAUACAUUCGCUUAUCAGUGUAAAAGUAAUUUUAUUCGUAAACAAUAACAUAAUAUUGCUCAGUCGCAAUCUAAAAGGCAAAGCAGAUGGAUCAUCAAACAAUGUUUUGUACACUGUUAUUAUUGGGAUUUCUAUUUCUGAUGAUGCAGUUCAUAAAUGCCUAUAAACAGUUUCAAAGUAAAGACGAAGAAUUCGUUUUUGCCAUUCUAAAAGAAGAAUUGGAAGCAAUGUACAAACGGAUGGAGUUAAUUGGUAUGAAAACGGACGUUGACCCUGAUCCAGUUAUAUACUAAAAAUUUGUUCUAAUGUAACAAUUAUUUGUAAAUAAAGAUAUUUUAUUUCAAAAAAGAUUAAA